AUUGAACGCUGGCGGCAGGCUUAACACAUGCAAGUCGAACGAUGACUCUCUAGCUUGCUAGAGAAGAUUAGUGGCGGACGGGUGAGUAACAUUUAGGAAUCUGCCUAGUAGUGGGGGAUAGCUCGGGGAAACUCGAAUUAAUACCGCAUACGACCUACGGGUGAAAGGGGGCGCAAGCUCUUGCUAUUAGAUGAGCCUAAAUCAGAUUAGCUAGUUGGUGGGGUAAAGGCCCACCAAGGCGACGAUCUGUAACUGGUCUGAGAGGAUGAUCAGUCACACCGGAACUGAGACACGGUCCGGACUCCUACGGGAGGCAGCAGUGGGGAAUAUUGGACAAUGGGGGCAACCCUGAUCCAGCCAUGCCGCGUGUGUGAAGAAGGCCUUUUGGUUGUAAAGCACUUUAAGCAGGGAGGAGAGGCUAAUGGUUAAUACCCAUUAGAUUAGACGUUACCUGCAGAAUAAGCACCGGCUAACUCUGUGCCAGCAGCCGCGGUAAUACAGAGGGUGCGAGCGUUAAUCGGAAUUACUGGGCGUAAAGCGAGUGUAGGUGGCUCAUUAAGUCACAUGUGAAAUCCCCGGGCUUAACCUGGGAACUGCAUGUGAUACUGGUGGUGCUAGAAUAUGUGAGAGGGAAGUAGAAUUCCAGGUGUAGCGGUGAAAUGCGUAGAGAUCUGGAGGAAUACCGAUGGCGAAGGCAGCUUCCUGGCAUAAUAUUGACACUGAGAUUCGAAAGCGUGGGUAGCAAACAGGAUUAGAUACCCUGGUAGUCCACGCCGUAAACGAUGUCUACUAGCCGUUGGGGUCCUUGAGACUUUAGUGGCGCAGUUAACGCGAUAAGUAGACCGCCUGGGGAGUACGGCCGCAAGGUUAAAACUCAAAUGAAUUGACGGGGGCCCGCACAAGCGGUGGAGCAUGUGGUUUAAUUCGAUGCAACGCGAAGAACCUUACCUGGUCUUGACAUAGUGAGAAUCUCUCAGAGAUGAGAGAGUGCCUUCGGGAACUCACAUACAGGUGCUGCAUGGCUGUCGUCAGCUCGUGUCGUGAGAUGUUGGGUUAAGUCCCGCAACGAGCGCAACCCUUUUCCUUAUUUGCCAGCGGGUUAAGCCGGGAACUUUAAGGAUACUGCCAGUGACAAACUGGAGGAAGGCGGGGACGACGUCAAGUCAUCAUGGCCCUUACGACCAGGGCUACACACGUGCUACAAUGGUAGGUACAGAGGGUUGCUACACAGCGAUGUGAUGCUAAUCUCAAAAAGCCUAUCGUAGUCCGGAUUGGAGUCUGCAACUCGGCUCCAUGAAGUCGGAAUCGCUAGUAAUCGCGGAUCAGACUGCCGCGGUGAAUACGUUCCCGGGCCU
rnacentral:rRNA from 1 species